AAUAAUAAUAAUAAUAAUAAUAGUCACGCAUAACCCACUAAAAUUGGAAAACCAUUAGAGCCAGUAAAAGCCCUACUUUAUCCUUUUUCCUUAUCUGCACGUCAUAUCUAUUUCGUCUUCUCCUCCUUGUGUUGUUGCUGCUGCUACUUCAUUGAAGAAACAAGAGAACCCUAUUUUGUUUUUUUCUUAUCCAAGCGCCUUUUUAUUUCUCCUUCUCCUUGCAUUGUUGCUCUUGCUCUUCUUUCUCCUGUGCAUGGCCGUUUCUUUCAUCAUCUUUAUUUAUCAUUCAUUUUCUACUCUUUUUUUUUUCCUUUUCCACUGGAACCCUUUUGGCACCUCUGAUCAUGUCCCCUAGCAGUUUGAGAUGCAAAAAAUACACCAACUGGAACAUGUGACCCAGAAAGCAGUACCCACGGGGUGAAUGAAUCUAGUAACUAUGCACUAAAGUAACACUUUUUUUUAUUCAUGGGCUGCAUUAGCAUGAUUCCAAGUUUAAAUGAUAUUUUGUUAAAGACUUCUUUUAGAUGAUUAAAAAGUCCACAAUAUUUAUUUAUUUUUCAUUUAGGCAAUUACUAUUUAAUAUCAUUAUGUUUAAGCACAAAUGCAUAAAGCAAGAUGUAAUAAAAUCACCAAAUAUAUCCUUUCAAAAAAAAUCACCAAAUAUAUAUAUCUGUAUAGGAUGGAAACCACAAACUUGGGUGAUAAUUGGAUUCAUUGUCAUAAAGAAAAGAGUUCUGAAAUGAGGUUUCGACUCACACCAAGAUAUAGAAUUCGUGCCACAUAGAUAGAACAAUUUAAUGUCUGAUCUAUAGCUGUAAUUCACACAAAAUUAGUCAGGUUUAGAAAAUGUAUAGCAUGUGAUGAUUAUAAUCAACUGUAGAUUAAAAUUAGUAUCAUUUUUUGAUUAGUUUGUUUUGUGUUCCUUAAUUAUUGUAUGAAAGCAGUAUUAACAUUGUGCACAAAUUAGGAAGGCAGUGAUUCCUGAGGUAAUCAAAUUCAUCAGUGCCUACAGUGUAAUGAAUAACUAACCCAGCGAGCAUCUGGAAGUAGACGACCAAGCCGACGGAUAGAGACACGGGCGAAGGUUUCAAAUUUUUCUUGAAUUCCACAUCCUUCAGCUUCUAACUUCUCCAAGAUCUCCUCAAUACUCUCCUUCCCCUCAACAACAGGAAAAUAGACACACUUUAGACGUGCAUUAGCUUCUCGAGAUGACCUUAAACCUGGAUUGGAUCCAACAUUAUCUUGAUUGAUAGAAAAGUGAAGCUGAAAAACAAACUCAGGGCCAUUGCAAGAGUGCAAGUUGGUAAUUGAAACCUCCCCACCUUCAAUUUCAGCUAAAUCUUCACCAUU
rnacentral:misc_RNA from 1 species